AGCAUUUCCAUCUGGAUUCGCUUCUUCUCCUGGAUUUGGGCGUCACGUAUGGCUUGGCACUGAGCACCAAGAAUCACCUGAGAAACCCGCAGGCAUGGAGUUCAUCGUUGACUAUUACUCGUAAGAGCAUGUGCUCGCUCCAGCAGAUGCUGCGUUCGCUCGUGGGCCUCCAUCUCCACCUCACUCAGAGUCCGCUUCUCUUGACGGCACACGUCGGCCUCCAACAUCUGCCGCUUCAUUUCCUCGGCCGCCUGCUAUGAACAAGGACACAACUGGAAAUUGCGGUUUCAAGUAAAGUUACAAAAUGGACCCUUUUGGUAUAUUUGCUACCAUUUCUUUCUCUUUCCUACUCUUGUGCGCCUCCUUUAAGGCCUUGUUCUCAUCCUUGGAGAGAAUAUUGGAUCUGGCGGUGAUCCGCUCAAAGUCGGCGAAUGGCAGAAUGAUGGACUGUCCAGAAGGAUCACUGCAUGGAACCCUGGCCACACAAAUGACAUUCUCUCAAAACUUUUCGAUACCCUUAUCCUCACUGUCGUCGCAGGCUUUCAUCCACCUGAGAGGAGGGGGCUCGUGUGCGGUAGCGAUGUUGUCUUCUCAAAUUUGAAGUGGAAGAGCUCUCGCUCUGAAAGG